rnacentral:lncRNA from 1 species
AGACAUAACCUUGCCAUAAGCAGCAAAGGGCUUGGUGAACCCUCAAAAAGGCUGUCAAACACCCAGAGGCCUUGGGGAUCAGGAAGGAGCUAUCAUGUGGUCUUUCAUAAAAAACUGGUUCACCCAUACCAAGCCUACACAUUUCAGCCCAUGAGGAUGGAGAAAAAGAAGAAAUUGAUGACAGAUUCUAUCAUCACAAAAGG